CCUCUGGCAUCCCCUCAAUUGCGGAUAAAUCUUUCGCCUUUUACUAAAGAUUUCCGUUCUCGGGGCGGUUACUUCUAAGGAAACGAAUUUGAUCGGUCUACUGCGCGUGUACUC
rnacentral:snRNA from 1 species